CUGAUGUCUGAAACAGAAGGAGAAGGUAACGGAAAUCAGCUACGUGGGAAAGUUAUAAGACUGACGUAAUUUAAUCGACUGUACCUUCUUCUUGGAGCCAUUCAAAAAAUCCUUGUACAUCUCGGAUCGCAAGUAACCUGCUAUGUCGAAACUCCAGCGAUCUGGCUUCUCAAGAUUUCUCUUGGUCAUCUCAAAGGAUUGCGAAUCCACAUUUAUCGGACAACUUGCAUCAGCGCCCAGGUACUCGUUCCAGAUUUCCUCAACCUUCGCCUGUACGUCACGCUGAGGAUACUCACGCUAGUUUCUCCUGCUCCCACAUCUCAGGAUUGUCUGAUAUCCAUGGAUUCGUGAAUUCUGGUUGUGUGAUAAAGGGAUCGUAUUCUGCGUAUUGCUCGAAGUAUCCAAUAAGCCUAAGAAGGAAAGAAUAAAUUAUGUGGAAAUUAAUGUUUCAAAUUAAUGCCAGUGAGAAGUCUUAGUAAAAUUAUACAUACGCUUCUGCG